rnacentral:rRNA from 1 species
GACGUAGGGCGCGAGCGUUGUCCGGAUUGAUUGGGCGUAAAGAGCUCGUAGGCGGCUCGUUGCGUCGGCUGUGAAAACCCGCAGCUCAACUGCGGGUCUGCAGUCGAUACGGGCAGGCUAGAGUUCGGUAGGGGAGACUGGAAUUCCUGGUGUAGCGGUGAAAUGCGCAGAUAUCAGGAGGAACACCGGUGGCGAAGGCGGGUCUCUGGGCCGAUACUGACGCUGAGGAGCGAAAGCGUGGGGAGCGAACAGG